rnacentral:rRNA from 1 species
UACGAAGGGGGCUAGCGUUGCUCGGAAUCACUGGGCGUAAAGGGCGCGUAGGCGGACUCUUAAGUCGGGGGUGAAAGCCCAGGGCUCAACCCUGGAAUUGCCUUCGAAACUGGCGAGCUUGAGUACGAAAGAGGAUCGCGGAAUUCCCGGUGUAGAGGUGAAAUUCGUAGAUAUCGGGAGGAACACCGGUGGCGAAGGCGGCGAUCUGGGUCGAUACUGACGCUGAGGUGCGAAAGCGUGGGGAGCAAACAGG